CUUGUUUGCUGGUAGUAACCUGUCUACUCAGUUUUGUUGAAUGCCUCUGGACUCAGAAGGACUAGGAACCCACAUUCAUUCUUCAACACGAUGUGAUUUAUCUUUCAGUUCUCCCUGAACUUUACCUUACUGUUAUAUUUAUGUUUUCCGUUGGGAUCCCCUUGAGAAGAAAAAAGAAGCAUGCCAAGGCACUGAGCUGCUUUAGGACAAUGCUCAGUGCUCUUAUUCCUGAAGACUAACGGUCUAGUCAAAUGCAGAAUGCUCUUUCGGUUUUUCCUACUUGCUCUCAGACAUGACAAUUCACCAUCAGUUUUAGAAAGCAUUUCCUAUUGUUGUUUUUGUAAUAUCAGAAAUGUAGAUUUGGGGACUUGCCCCAUUGCGGUAUUUUGGUUAUCAGUUUUUAAGUUUUCAUCAAUGAAGUACUGUUGUCCAGAACCUUGUGAAUGCUAGAUCAUGGUUCUGCACAGCAAGAUAUGCAAUAUCAGCCUGAAUCAGACGAUACAGAGCAUACUGUACCGGCCUGAACCGGG
rnacentral:lncRNA from 1 species